AGCAACGACACAUCUAUGUGUGAUUAUUUGUAAUUUAAAGGCGACGUUCAUGUUCAUUGUGUGGGUCUGACUAACACUUUUCUUGUUUUGAAAGCAAAACCGGAAUGCGAGUCAUUUGCUGUGUUAGCCUGAUCCGAGACCCCGCUGGCUGGAUUAAUCCUGUUCGCAGUGUGGAAAAAGUGCUGUUUUGUAUCAUUUGUUUGGGAGAAUCGUUGCGGCGAGCAGAAAUGUCUCCAGAUUUCUGCAUCGAAUCGCCGCCGGGGAGCACGACGAAAGAAGAGGAGCGGGCUGCUUCUCGCCCAAAGCUGGAAUAAGACGCCACCAUUAAAUUCUCUUCCGGAGUGCUUUUGUUGUGUUGAGGGCUUUUCACGCGACCCAAGUGUCGACAGAAGAGAGCAGUGGAAUGGCGUUCUUCGCGAAAAAGAAGAAAUUCAAGUUCCAGACUCAUCUGACGCUGGAGGAGCUGAGCGCUGUGCCGUUCGUCAACGGGGUUCUCUUCUGCAAAGUUCGCCUGCUGGACGGAGACUUCGUCGCUUCCUCCUCCAGGCAGGAAGUCCGCAG